rnacentral:rRNA from 1 species
CCUACGGGAGGCUGCAGUGAGGAAUAUUGGUCAAUGGACGAGAGUCUGAACCAGCCAAGUAGCGUGAAGGAUGACUGCCCUAUGGGUUGUAAACUUCUUUUAUAUGGGAAUAAAAUGUUCCACGUGUGGGAUUUUGUAUGUACCAUAUGAAUAAGGAUCGGCUAACUCCGUGCCAGCAGCCGCGGUAAUACGGAGGAUCCGAGCGUUAUCCGGAUUUAUUGGGUUUAAAGGGAGCGUAGGUGGAUUGUUAAGUCAGUUGUGAAAGUUUGCGGCUCAACCGUAAAAUUGCAGUUGAAACUGGCAGUCGUGAGUACAGUAGAGGUAGGCGGAAUGCGUGGUGUAGCGGUGAAAUGCUUAGAUAUCACGAAGAACUCCGAUUGCGAAGGCAGCUCACUGGACUGCAACUGACACUGAGGCUCGAAAGUGUGGGUAUCAAACAGGAUUAGAUACCCCUGUAGUC